rnacentral:rRNA from 1 species
CCUACGGGAGGCAGCAGUGAGGAAUAUUGGUCAAUGGGCGGAAGCCUGAACCAGCCAAGUAGCGUGCAGGAUGACGGCCCUACGGGUUGUAAACUGCUUUUAUAAAGGAAUAAAGUGCGUCACGUGUGGGGUUUUGUAUGUACUGUAUGAAUAAGGAUCGGCUAACUCCGUGCCAGCAGCCGCGGUAAUACGGAGGGUCCGGGCGUUAUCCGGAUUUAUUGGGUUUAAAGGGAGCGUAGAUGGGUUGUUAAGGCUGUUGUGAAAUUUCGGGGCUCAACCGGAACAUUGCAAUUGAUACUGGCAGUCUUGAGUACACUGGAGGCAGGCGGAAUUCGUGGUGUAGCGGUGAAAUGCUUAGAUAUGACGAAGAACCCCGAUUGCGAAGGCAGCUUACUACACCGGAACUGACACUGAUGCUCGAAAGCGCGGGUAUCAAACAGGAUUAGAUACCCGAGUAGUC